GGGAAUAUAACUCAGUUGGUAGAGUAAAGUCUUUGCACGUCUUAAGUCAGCAGUUCAAAUCUGCUUAUUUCCAU
rnacentral:tRNA from 1 species